rnacentral:lncRNA from 1 species
GAGAAUAAAAGAUUAUUGUAUUGAAUUGUUAAAAUUGAAUUAUACUAUACAUCUAUACAAAUAGGUUACUGGUAACUCAAGUAACUAAUCAAUAACCAAUUAACUAACUUGAAUUAUAUCAUAAUAUUUAUAUCAUCAAAAAGUUGGAUUGAUUUGAUUCCUUCGUUGAAGUACCGUUUGGGAAGAUUUACAAAGUAUCUAUGUGAUGUGGAAUUUGGUUGAUGGGUGUUAGAGCCACACAACAUUUUUUUGGACACCGUUAAUAAUUGAAUGAGACAUUUGUGAAGAUCAUUGUUCCGUUGUGUAAGACCAUCAUUCAUUAUACGUCGGUAGCUAAAGUUUAUACUUUAGCCUAGAUUUGUUGGCAAACUUUAUUGGCAAUGGCAUUCUGUCUCCAGUGUAGCGAUUUUGUUAUAGCUCUAUGGAAUUUUAUAGUUAGCGCAUAUCUAAAUAUGUAGUAUAGUAUUACAUUUGGGGUUUACUCUACUUGACAAAAGGAGAAUGAUCAACAAAAAGACAAAAUAACCUAAAGUCCAAGAUGAGAACUUACAUUGAACAAUUUUACACAAGCAUAUAUUUGUUUGUGGCAUGUCUGUUUGUUUGAAAGCUGAAUAUAGUUAUCAAAAAAUGAUAGGUGAUCAUUAAGAGACAAUACAGGACAGUAGGGAAUUGAGAGACAAUUAAUGUGAUAUAUGAAAAGAUGGUUUGGAAUAUAUAUUACAAAUUUAUAAUGAGAAAAUAAAGAAAAUGAUUCCUGUAGAAUUUUCUGUCAUUCAAUUGAAAAGAGAAACGUGUUGGAGGUUCUCUGUUAUGUCUUAUUGAGGUUUGUUAUUAUUAUAACAAAAAAUUACUCAUGUGUAUUGGAGGUUUCCUGUUGUGUAUUAUUGAAUGAACUUCAGUGCCAUAUUUGUAUAAGUCAAGAGCAAUGGACAUGGCAAUUUGUGGCAUCAUCUCCAGCACUUGAACAUUUAUUAUUGUGUUAACUAGAUUCUUGUAGCCUGCAAAAUAGAUAGAGAUUUUAGAGAUAUAUUAAAGGAAUUAAUUCAGAUGUUACUUAACAAAUUUAAUUUUUUAUUUUUAAAAAGGCAUAUAUGAUCAAGCAUGUCGAGAGAUGUUUGCGGCAGGAAAUGGAUGACCGGAUUGUGAUCAGUACCUUCAAGAAAAGUGACAAAUGCAACAUUCUUGUCAUUGUAAAGCCAAAUAACGACAAGCGUGGUUCUUGAGGCAGUUGAAGAGGCAGAAAGGUGGUCACCAUUGGUUUAGUGGUGGAGGUUUGGGCUUUGAAGAGUGUAUUUUUCUUAAAGUUCAAGUUCGAAU